ensembl:rRNA 5S_rRNA 5S ribosomal RNA
GCUUACGGCCAUACCACCCUGAGAACGCCCGAUCUCGUCUGAUCUCGGAAGCUAAGCAGGGUCGGGCCUGGUUAGUAUUUGGAUGGGAGACCGCCUGGGAAUACCAGGUGCUGCAAGCU